rnacentral:rRNA from 1 species
AGAGUUUGAUCAUGGCUCAGAACGAACGCUGGCGGCGUGCCUAACACAUGCAAGUUGAACGAGAAAGGGCUUCGGUUUGAGUAAAGUGGCGCACGGGUGAGUAACGCGUGGGUAAUCUGCCUUCAGGCGGGGGAUAACGGUUCGAAAGAGCCGCUAAUACCGCGUAAGACCACGUCCUCGCGGGGGUGUGGGAAAAGAUGGGGAUCUUCGGACCUGUCACCUGGAGAUGAGCCCGCGUACCAUUAGGUAGUUGGUGGGGUAAAGGCCUACCAAGCCGAAGAUGGUUAGCUGGUCUGAGAGGAUGAUCAGCCACACUGGAACUGAGACACGGUCCAGACUCCUACGGGAGGCAGCAGUGGGGAAUAUUGCGCAAUGGGGGCAACCCUGACGCAGCAACGCCGCGUGUGUGAUGAAGGCCCUCGGGUCGUAAAGCACUGUGAGGUGGAACGAGCCGCCGAGGGUGAAUAUCCUUCGGCCCGACGGUACCACCAGAGGAAGCACCGGCUAACCCUGUGCCAGCAGCCGCGGUAAUACAGGGGGUGCAAGCGUUGUUCGGAAUUAUUGGGCGUAAAGCGCGUGUAGGCGGACCGUUAAGUCUGGAGUGAAAUCCCUCGGCUCAACCGAGGACGUGCUUCGGAUACUGGCGGUCUUGAGUUUUGGAGAGGGUAGCGGAAUUCCCAGUGUAGAGGUGAAAUUCGUAGAUAUUGGGAGGAACACCGGUGGCGAAGGCGGCUACCUGGACAGUGACUGACGCUGAGACGCGAAAGCAUGGGUAGCAAACAGGAUUAGAUACCCUAGUAGUCC